rnacentral:lncRNA from 1 species
AAAAAUCUUUCUCAAGCCUCUCCAGACUCGGGGUCGGGAAUGAGCGAGGGUCCGGCAGAUUUGGGGCUCCGAGACCACAGAUGGGGCCCGUGAGUGAGGAGGACAAGAGAGAAAGGAGAAGUUUGGGUGGAAAUCCCAGAGAUUGUUCAUCAUGUGAGAGGAGCCAUGCUGCAUUUCAUGCCAUACUCACACCAUGGAUGGAGAAAAAAAGCCAAGCUUCACUUUCUAAGAAUGGCCCUGGGGCCACUGCAUCUAGUGCCUGUGCAUCUGCAGACCUGCCGGAUGCCUCCAGGGGAAUCAUGCCACCCCAAGCAAGAAAGGGCCCAGUUGCCAGGAGCCUGGAGGCAGAGAGCUGAGGAGCCAGCCCCUGACAUCAGAAUGGAGCUCAAAGGUUGGCUGGGUGUGACUCUGCGGUGGACAGCUUCUCUUGGGAAAUCUACUUUAAUGAAUCCAGAGGAGCAAUUUGUAAUCAGCCCAUCAAAUGUUAAGGGACACUUAGCUGGAAUCUUGUUGCUGGACUCUGUGCCCUGCAGUGGAUGACAGUUCUCCAUCAGGGUCUGUAGUCCUCUACCCUGGAUUUGCUGCAUCUUGGAGCCCCCAGCAGUCAGGUACCGGCUCUCAGAACUGCCUGCAUCCCAUUGCCCUGAGCUGCUGUCUGCCAGGGCUGCUGGUAACCAGGCCCACAGGGCUGGAUAUUCCCCCAACAGGGCAGCUCCCAGUCCAAGCCCAACUGUUACCAGCCCAGAAAGAUGUUUCAGGAUACCCCUUUCCUCCCCACUUCCCUGCCCUCUGCAGCUCCAGCUGGUGCACCCCAUCUUUCUCUCCCCCUCCCUGCUAGGCUGGGCCCUAACAGGAGACCUUUGAGGUGCUUGGGCUUAUUCUGUAACGUUGAGUAACCUUGAGCUACUGCCUCACUCCGUUCCUCACUUUUCUUCUUCUUAAGGUUUCUAACUGGAUUUUGCCAGUGUAUUUAUUUCAAAACUGGUCAUCUUACUGACCUCGCUCAUAGUCUCUUAUUAGUUUUCCAGUUGAUUCUCUUUAGUUUUCUGGAUAAACAAUAUCAUGUACAAAUAAUGAUGGCAAUUUCUCCUCUUUUCCAAAUGUUGUGUUUCCUUUUGUCUUUUAAUGUACUCUUGCCUUGGCUAAAACUUCCAAAACAAUGUAAAAUAAUUGUGAUAAUAGCAGGCUUUCUCAUCCCACCCUGACUAAAAUAUGAAUGACCCUG